rnacentral:rRNA from 1 species
UACGUAGGGCGCAAGCGUUAUCCGGAAUUAUUGGGCGUAAAGAGCUCGUAGGCGGUUUGUCGCGUCUGCCGUGAAAGUCCGGGGCUCAACCCUGGGAUGCCGGUGGAUACUGUCGGACUAGAGUACGGAAGAGGCGAGUGGAAUUCCUGGUGUAGCGGUGAAAUGCGCAGAUAUCAGGAGGAACACCAAUUGCGAAGGCAGCUCGCUGGGACGUUACUGACGCUGAGACGCGAAAGCGUGGGGGAGCAAACAGG